AGCCUCAUAGCUCAGUUGGCGAGAACGUAGGCUGUACUAGAGCCUUCCUCUUGCUGGCGUGGGUUCGAAUCCCACUGAGGCCG
rnacentral:tRNA from 1 species